ACUCUGAAAAUAUAACGCUGUGUGCAAACAAAUUCUCGUGCGUCUACGAAUAAUACAUAGAAAAAAUAGUCAUCUUCCCAAAUAUUUGUUUCCAAAUUGUUGCGUAAUGUUACCUGUUCGAAACCAUGUUCUAAAUGCGUAAUCCGGGUCAAAGGUGGCGGUGAGUGUUAGGGGUUGCUCCAGCAGAUAGCGAUCGAUGAGUCGCCCACCACCCUGCAGAUGGCGCACAAAGCGCAAUUUUUACGAAAAUGUAAUUUGGGUAUAUGGUAAUGACAGUUAUAUUGGAGCGUAUUACGGUGUGUUGGAUGAGGAAUAAACUGGAUUUGCUACUGCAUUUUAGUAUACUCGUUAUUAAUAUAUUUGAUAAAGAUAAAUAAAUAUUAAUGUUGCAUAAAUUAUAGAUGCUUUGGGAAGGUAUCACACAGGCACGUGAAUUAUGGAGUGCUGAUAAAUUUAUAUGGAAUCGAUGAAAUAUAGUAUGGGCGUUUUUAUUUUUAUCCAUAUGAUAAUUUGUGUGACAUUUUUACAACUACAUUUGAUAGCCAACUGUAAAGAUGUAAAAAAUGCCUUUAAAAACUUAUGGCGCAAAUGAUCUAUUAGAUAUAGAGGUAUAAAUGUAAACUAAAUUUUUUUAAUAGUAAACAGUGAAUUUCAAAUUCAACAUUAGCAAGAAUUGUUUUUGUUUUUUAAUAAAACCGAUGUAAUGAAUUAUGAAAAAUGGUAUUUUCUGGUGAUUAUUACACCGAGGAAAUCCAUACCGUUAGCACCAUAAAAGAGACAUUAAGAAAAAAAUUGCUACAGUUUGCAAAAACCUGAUAAAUGGUGUUAUAGAAAUUUCAGGACACUAGGUUUUGCAGAAAAAUCUGGAUGUUUGGAGAGAAAGCAAGACGGAUUCAUAAACCACAAGUGUAUGAAGGACCAGGUUAUUUUUGAUGCGACGUCGUCCCAGUGUGGGUAGGGAUGAUUAGGCAAAUUUGGGUUAGCAUCUUGCCAUCUACACGAUGAAAUUUGCUGACAAUGGGUCCAGUAGUUUUGGAAAUUAUCUGUCUAAUAAUUAUCUGCAAAGACUGUAGAAGUGUAGACGACAGACGGAAACGGAAGACUCAUUUUUUAUAUUUUCAGGGUCAUGUUAAAAAAAUGAUUUGGAUUAUUUGGUUUCCUAAUUUAUCGCAGUGACAUGAUAUGCACCAAGUACAUUAAUUCAAAUCUACUUGAUGCAGAGAGCUAACCCAGAAAUGGCUUAUCUAAUUUUCUGAGAUUUUAGACAUUUGAUAAUCAUGUGUGAUUAGGUUAUCUGAAAAUCUUAUUAGGUAAAUCUCACUUCAAAGAUGUAUUAUAAACUCUUUAGUAAUGCAUAAGCGUUUAUAUAAAAAUUUCCAACUUUACAAUUUAUCCCAGAGGAGACAAAAUACCUAACUUCCGUGAAACUUUAUUACGAUACAAAAAUUAAUUUAAAGAAUUUCGAAAUAAAUAAAUAAAUAAUUUGCAGUCAACAAAAAAAUAUGUUUUACACACGUCAAAUAAGUAGGUAAAUAUAAUAAAAAAAUUGCCCCGAAUAACAGAGAUUUAAGAUAUAUAAUGCAUGAUAAUUCACAGAAAAACAUCUAAUAAAAAUUUAUCAUGCUUAGUGCAUAAAUUGUGAACAUGGAGUUUAAAAACCGCCCAAAAAAUUGGUUUAAAGUUAUUUAGAAAAAUUUCCUUAGCCCCUGAUGCACAGGAGUUUUAGAAAAAUUAUAAAACUAAAUUUUGCGUAUUUUAUUUUUUUAUGAUAACGUCAUCAAUUUUUUGGAAUGGCAUAACCUGGAUAAAUUUUGAUUAACGAUUUACUACGCUUACGACAACGUUAAAACAUUUGCAAGAUUUCAGCAGAACAUUCGGUUUUGCAGUUUUAAGGUUAAAUUGCAAAAUGUUAUUACAGAAUUUAGAUUUUUUUUCCAAAAAUCUCGAUAUCUAAGAUAAAAACUCAAUACGGAUUCGUAAAUGACAAGCGCAGGAGCAUCUUA